rnacentral:rRNA from 1 species
UAUUUGAUAGUACCUUACCACUUGGAUAACCGUGGUAAUUCUAGAGCUAAUACAUGCUGAAAACCCCGACUUCGGAAGGGAUGUAUUUAUUAGAUUCAAAACCAAUGCCCUCUGGGCUCCUUGGUGAUUCAUAAUAACUUUUCGAAUCGCACGGCCUUGCGCCGGCGAUGGUUCAUUCAAAUUUCUUCCCUAUCAACUUUCGAUGUUUGGGUAUUGGCCAAACAUGGUUACAACGGGUAACGGAGGGUUAGGGCUCGACCCCGGAGAAGGAGCCUGAGAAACGGCUACUACAUCCAAGGAAGGCAGCAGGCGCGCAAAUUACCCAAUCCCGAUUCGGGGAGGUAGUGACAAUAAAUACUGAUACAGGGCUCUUUUGGGCCUUGUAAUUGGAAUGAGUACAAUUUAAAUCCCUUAACGAGGAACAAUUGGAGGGCAAGUCUGGUGCCAGCAGCCGCGGUAAUUCCAGCUCCAAUAGCGUAUAUUAAAGUUGUUGUGGUUAAAAAGCUCGUAGUUGAAUCUUGGGCCUGGCUGGCCGGUCUGCCUCACCGGCGUGUACUGGUCCGGCCGGGCCUUUCCUUCUGUGGAACCCCAUGCCCUUCAGUGGGGGUGGCGGGGAAACAGGACGUUUACUUUGAAAAAAUUAGAGUGCUCCAGGCAGGCCUAUGCUCGAAUACAUUAGCAUGGAAUAAUGAAAUAGGACGCGUGGUUCUAUUUUGUUGGUUUCUAGGACCGCCGUAAUGAUUAAUAGGGACAGUCGGGGGCAUCAGUAUUCAAUUGUCAGAGGUGAAAUUCUUAGAUUUAUUGAAGACUUACUACUGCGAAAGCAUUUGCCAAGGAUGUUUUCAUUAAUCAGGAACGAAAGUUAGGGGAUCGAAGACGAUCAGAUACCGUCGUAGUCUUAACCAUAAACUAUGCCGACUAGGGAUUGGACGAUGUUA